AGCAGCCGCGGUAAUUCCAGCUCCAAUAGCGUAUAUUAAAGUUGUUGCAGUUAAAAAAGCUCGUAGUUGAAUUUCGGGAUUGACACAUCGGUCGUGCCCUAAGGGGUAUGAACUGGUGUAGUCAAUUUCUCACCUUCUGGAGAACCGCGAUGCCCUUAAUUGGGUGUCACGGGGAACCAGGACCUUUACUUUGAAAAAAUUAGAGUGUUUAAGGCAGGCAUUUUUGCUUGAAUACAUUAGCAUGGAAUAAUAAAAUAGGACGGCAUGAUUCUAUUUUGUUGGUUUCUAGGAUCACCGUAAUGAUUAAUAGGGAUAGUUGGGGGCAUUAGUAUUCAAUUGUCAGAGGUGAAAUUCUUGGAUUUAUUGAAGACUAACUACUGCGAAAGCAUUUGCCAAGGAUGUUUUCAUUAAUCAAGAACGAAAGUUAGGGGAUCGAAGACGAUCAGAUACCGUCGUAGUCUUAACCAUAAACUAUGCCGACUAGGAAUCAGACGAUGUUAAUUUUUUAAUUGACUCAUUC
rnacentral:rRNA from 1 species